GAGAGAGAGAGAGAAAAAAAAAAUCCAGGGAGCACACUGGGUCUUCAAUAUAGUGAAGCAAAGUUAUUUAAUGUAUUAUAAAAAUACAUAAGCUUAUGUGUUUUUUAUAAUACAUUAAAUAACUUUGCUUCACUAUAUUGAAGACCCAGUGUGCUCCCUGGAUUCUCCUUUCUUAUAUACA